rnacentral:lncRNA from 1 species
AAAAAGGUGGUAGAAGAGAAGGUGGAGCACGGGGGAUCAUCAUCUAACAUCAUCUAGCAUCAUCACCAACUUCUCUUCAUCCCGCAUUCGUCCCCUUCCCCUUCUUUUUCUUCUUCCUGCUCCUACUCCUGCUCUUCCGUCCCGCAUCGCCGCACCCCCGCAUCCUCGCAUCCCUGCACACCGCUCAUUCGGCUUCGUUGCUUCUCCACUUUCGGGCCUCCUCCUGUGCAUCAGUCUUUCCUCUGUUUGUCUGUGUGUCAGUGUGUGUGUG